AAAUAAGAAAAAGAAAAAACACAAAGAAAAAGACCCCCUUUGAAUAUAUUUGAAUGAAUAUCAAAAACGAAAAAAAAGAAGCCCACCCCUGUUACAUUGAUUCUCUUUCGGCUUUUAUAGCCGAUUACAUGUGAUUUUCACUACUCUCUGCUUGUUUUGCUUUUGUUUUGCAUGUUUCUCCAUUCAUUUCCUGUCUUCUUCUGUUUAUUCUUUCCCCCAUCCCUCGCAUGCUGUUGUUUUUGUCUCUAUUACAGGUGUGUCAGGUGUGGAUGGUGUCAGACGCAUGGAGGAGAAGGGCAUGCGCGGGGUGUGGUGGUGGUGCGCAAGGUGGCCCAUGGUUGGCCUAGCGUGCGGCGGCUAGAGGCUUGGGGAGCUGCUAGGGUUUCCUCUUUUUUUUGGAAAAUGUUUAGUGGGCUAGGUUGAUUUGGGCCUGUUGGGCUAGUCUUUUAGUUUUGUACUUUGGACUUUAUUUAUUUGGUUUAUUGGGUUUUGUUAUUGGGUUUUGGGGGUGGCCCAAAAUUGGCCUGUACAACUGCCCCUCUUUGCUCAUUGUCGUGUAACGGGAAUGGAGCAAAGACAUAAUGAAAGGCCAAUUUUGCCUGGUCUUGCUGGGUAUGGAGGUGCCAGGCAUGCGGGGAUGGUGUUGGCAGAAGCAUGGGGCGUGGUAGCCGACAUGGUGGUGUUCGGCGCAAGUGGG
rnacentral:lncRNA from 1 species